AUUGAACGCUGGCGGCAGGCUUAACACAUGCAAGUCGAGCGGGGGAAGGUAGCUUGCUACCGGACCUAGCGGCGGACGGGUGAGUAAUGCUUAGGAAUCUGCCUAUUAGUGGGGGACAACAUCUCGAAAGGGAUGCUAAUACCGCAUACGUCCUACGGGAGAAAGCAGGGGAUCUUCGGACCUUGCGCUAAUAGAUGAGCCUAAGUCGGAUUAGCUAGUUGGUGGGGUAAAGGCCUACCAAGGCGACGAUCUGUAGCGGGUCUGAGAGGAUGAUCCGCCACACUGGGACUGAGACACGGCCCAGACUCCUACGGGAGGCAGCAGUGGGGAAGAUUGGACAAUAGGGGGAACCCUGAUCCAGCCAUGCCGCGUGUGUGAAGAAGGCCUUAUGGUUGUAAAGCACUUUAAGCGAGGAGGAGGCUACUUUAGUUAAUACCUAGAGAUAGUGGACGUUACUCGCAGAAUAAGCACCGGCUAACUCUGUG
rnacentral:rRNA from 1 species